rnacentral:rRNA from 1 species
CGCGGCCUAUCAGCUUGUUGGUGAGGUAACGGCCCACCAAGGCGACGACGGGUAGCCGGCCUGAGAGGGUGACCGGCCACACUGGGACUGAGACACGGCCCAGACUCCUACGGGAGGCAGCAGUGGGGAAUAUUGCACAAUGGGCGCAAGCCUGAUGCAGCAACGCCGCGUGAGGGACGACGGCCUUCGGGUUGUAAACCUCUUUUAGCAGGGAAGAAGCGCAAGUGACGGUACCUGCAGAAAAAGCACCGGCUAACUACGUGCCAGCAGCCGCGGUAAUACGUAGGGACCAAGCGUUGUCCGGAAUUAUUGGGCGUAAAGAGCUCGUAGGCGGUUCAGUAAGUCGGGUGUGAAAACUCAAGGCUCAACCUUGAGACGCCACUCGAUACUGCUGUGACUUGAGUCCGGUAGAGGAGUGUGGAAUUCCUGGUGUAGCGGUGAAAUGCGCAGAUAUCAGGAGGAACACCAGCGGCGAAGGCGGCACUCUGGGCCGGUACUGACGCUGAGGAGCGAAAGCAUGGGGAGCAAACAGGAUUAGAUACCCUGGUAGUCCAUGCCGUAAACGUUGGGCACUAGGUAUGGGAUCAUAUCAACGGAUUCCGUGCCGUAGCUAACGCAUUAAGUGCCCCGCCUGGGGAGUACGG